rnacentral:lncRNA from 1 species
CUCACACGACUGAUUUGGUGGCCGGAUGAGGGAGAAACUGAAGCUGGAAAAUCGGCCAAAACUGCUGCGUUUUUCAGCGGCUCCAGACAGCAGCAGGGGCGGCGGACGGCCUGAGGUUGAUGGCGGGAGCUGGCCGGUGCUUCUGGGUUCGUUCCGGAGGGUCGGGGUGGCUUGAGGCGGCGUUGGGGGUGGCUUGGAAUGGGGCUGCCCGAAUGGGUUUCUGAAACUAUCGGGAGGGAGAGAGAGAGAGAGAGAGAGAGAGAGAGAGAGAGAGAGAGAGAGAGAGAGAGCUGACAGAUUUUCUUUUUAUUAAUUCAACUUCGAAAUAUUUACGGUUCUGCCACUGAGACUCUUUUGACCAUAACUCCUUCGUUACAACUCCGAUUCGGGUCUACUCCGUGUCUACGAACUCGUUUCGCCGUGCUCUACGCAACGGCGUAAACGGAAUUCCCAAAUUUCUUCUCGGUCAAAAAGUCAAUUUUUCCCCCUCUUAAAAGAGGUGAGGACAAAGUCGUCUUUUUGCUAGAAUAAAUUAAUACUAAUUUUAGAAUAUUUUAUUUUGGGUUAUUACAAUCUACCCCCCUUAUAAAAAUUUCGUCCUCGAAAUUUACCUCCCUGUCAUUCAAAGGGGAGAAGAACUGUUCCUGUAUUUGCUACUGGGGUUACUAUGCUAAACACUUCCUAUACCAAAAUCUAAACUGCUUGUUUCCCACACAUUCUAUAUUCUCAUUGGGUCUGAUAAUGCUAGGAUUUGACUUCCUUGUUUCCUUCAAUUUCACUACCUCUUCUAUAGGUGAUAGAAAUUGAAGAAUACCCAACUGAAGAUCCUUCUUCUAGUAUUUGUAUAACUUCCUGUCAAUCCUGGGUCGCUUGAGGCUUUUACCAGUUAAUCCAAUAGGUUUCUGUAGUUUGUACAACACUUCCAGAUACCAAGAAACUCUGUCUUCUAUUCCAUCUUUCCACUUGAGUGGUCUAUAUCAUGCCUCAUAUUGAGUAGCAAUUAGAAAUAUUUUAAUUAUAGAGACUAGUGGCAAUGUGAGAUUUGUAAGCUAAGGAAGUUCAGUUUAGCUGACAAUUGUCAUUUGAGGUAUACACCGUCUCAAAUGGUAACCCCAAUCACUCCAAAACUAUAGGAUACAACACCCCAACAAUUCCCCUAAAAUUUGAAUCAUUCUCUUAAAUUGAGCAUCUGUCUGGGGUGAAUUGUAGUAUUAGACUGUAAUUAAUUUCUAAAAGCUUCCUUUAGCUGAGUUCAACUGGAUCUUAACCGGGGUUUCUUGAUCUAAAUCAUAGGGAGUUGUAUUCCAUAGCAUUACAAGAUCUUAUCUGUGAAAAUCCUUGCCAGUUUGUUUCAGAUUAUACUUGGUUCUCACCUGCGGAACAUAUGCAGACUUAUUGAAUCGAUCCUUAAUUUCCUACACUCCACCCUGCUUUCUCUAUGUUCAAGGAGACUGAACACCCAAUCCAUUGUAAGUUACUGCUUCUUCCUUUCAGAAAUCGAAAGUGAUUAUAAGAACAUUAUUGAUUCUUGUUGCGGAGCUAUUCCUUACUGAUAAUUCCUACUGUUCCUUUCAUCAUAAGAAGCUCCUUGUAAGAUUUCUGUUUUAAACUUUUGCUUUUCAUAACAUCUAAUUCAACCUUUUACUAAGAUUCUGAACUUAACCUGCUCAAUUAUUAUAGUACGAAAGGAACAUAUAACAGAUAGAUUUUUUCCACCUGCAAAGAAGGUGCAGGUUCUGUAGAAUCUAUAAAUUACAUUAGGUUCUGGAAGCCUCUGAAGGAAGAGGACGACGCCUCUUAAGCCUAGCCAUAAGUCUCUCGUGGUCUCCCAAAAUUCUUUCAUUGGAGACCUGCAGCAUGUUUAGCCUUCUCAGUGUAUCAUCGGAGUACGAACUCACCAGUUUCAACAAAGAGUUGUUCUCUCCUUUGAGUUUCUCAACUUCCUGUUGAGACUCAUGAAGCCUUCUUUGAAGAGACGAAUUUUCAGUUGUUAGCUGCUGAACCUCGUUUGCUCUAGCCCGCAAACGAUUAGCCAUGUUUGAAACAGAAACAGCACUCUGAAUGCUAAAAGCCAUUGAGUCAUGCAUGGCCUCUUCCUCAGACCUCCCUGUCAUUAGCAUUUCAUCCAUUGGAGUAAUACAAUUCUUAGCUACUAUGACAGCAGUAGCAUCAUUCAUCAUCACCGAAUCAUUAACUGUGAGAUGACGAUUGUUGGAUACAAAGGAUGGACGCCAAACUGUAGCGUCACUAACUGUUGUGGGAACAUCAUUUAAAUUGAAAUAAUUUGGGCAGGAAGAAGAGGAAGCCAUUCUAAGAAGGUUUCUAAGAAAGUCUUGUAAACACUGAAGAAAGUUGAGCUGAAAUGCUGUUGCUCAAUCAAGUUUUACGAAGGCAAUAUCUAUAGAUGAAAAUGUGGCAGCUUUUCGGAUUCCAAAAUCUUAUCGAAUCCCCACAUUAUUUUUCUCUUUCACAAGAGUCCAAAACUUCACGUGGCCUCUAAUAAUGCUGUCGGUACUUUCGGCAUUUCAGCGGAUUAUCUUCGUCAAGCCGAUCUUGCUUUACGGAUUUCACGGAGCUACUUUGUCAAAAGUACCCCGAGAAUCUCGCAAUUUUCCUAUGGUUAAUUUGAAAUUCACUGAUUCUACCUCUUCAUUGUACUUGUGUAUAAAUGUGUUACUAAUGAAACUUCUUUGCAGAAGACAUCCAAUUUACUUCAUACCAGUGAUGCGAUAUCUACUUGUUUUUCUUAUCAAUAAGCACUCAAUAUGCCCGAGAAGCAAGACUAUCUCUGAUCAUCCACUCAGGAAGCAAGACUAUCACUGAUCAUGUUUCAGCAAGAUCAGGGAAUCGUGAAGGCGGCCUUAUGCUCUAAUCUCCUGAGGUCCUUCUAGACUAGGAGAAUUGAUGAGCUGGUUGUCUGCUCUCAUCAGCUUCCUUCCCUGAUUGCUUACCUUACCUUGCAAUCAAUAUCACAAUUUUUGUAUCUUUUCUUUCUUUUUAUAAUUCUCUGUUCCUAAGGGAUUUUAUUUCUGUACUGUGAUCUUAUCUUGCUACCUUGUGUCCAUGUAUAACUUCAUGAUGACAUCUCCUUUCCUUAAAUAACACUAGAACACUUCACUGAGGAAAGCGCUAAGCUGAAUGACCUUCUUCGUUAUCAUUUCCGGCAAAUAUUCCUUAUUAGUCUUUAACUCAUUCAACUUAUUAGUAUUCCUUUAUACUUUACCGGAGAAAAAAGGCUCACUUCCUGGAGCGAGCUCAAACAUAAACCCAAUCUCCCAAUAAAAAGUAAGUCUGUAACACUGUAUCUGGUCAGAGUAAUCCAACUCUAGGAUGAUCUCCAGUCAACCAUGCCGGAGAGGAAUUCAAUCUGUAUCUACAGUAAAUAAUGCUCAUGCUUCCUACUGAGAUAUAAUAUACUGUCUACCUGCGGCUUAAAACUGUUGCCACAUAACCUCAUGGUUGACUGCUUCCUCAACUAGCCAUACUGCUCUGGGCCCAUCGCUAAACAGAACUCCCAUAAACUGUGGUAUUUUCGGUAACUUACCUUGCAUACUUGUUUUGCUGCAGAAAUGAUCUUUUAAUACUAAGGGAACAGCGGCAAUCCCUUUUGAAAGGCUUAGACUAUCCAUCAUCUUAUUCUCCCAUAAUACUCCUCUAGUAGGGCCCGGAAUAAUGCCUUCCACACUUGGCACAAUAGGGCAACUUCUCCUGUUAGAGACUGAUAACAAUUGUCUUCCAACACUCCUGGCUAUACCAACCCCAGAACAAUUGCCAAUAUGACUAUCUUGACUGGUACUUUCACUGGAACUAAAUCCAGAUCGGUACUUUCCGUAUCUGCGGCCAUUCGGUGAUCGGAGACUAUAAUCACCACUGUAGACACCCCUCUUAAAUUCCUCCUGAUUAGUAUUACCUAUAUUCAAAUACUGUGCACAGAGUGCACCUCAUGGUCUACCCAUUAUCUGGCUGAGGCAGACAUUAUCACGGCACCAAAGUUAAUUAACCACUAACUGAUCACAAUAUCUUGGGGGGGGAAAGGCUUUUAACCUUAUCGCAACUAGGUAUUACCUCUUACUUUCAGAUCUCUUUUAGUAGAAAACAGUGUAUGGAACUCGGAUCCAAUUAUUAUUCUCUAUUCUGCUGCAAAACCUCUUGUAUCCUCACCUUCUGUAAACUUACAGAUAAGACUAGCUAUUAAAUUCGGCUCUAAAAUACUUGUUACGUAUUAAUCAAAGGAUCCUGGUAUCACUUCUUAACUAAAUCCCACCAAUACUUUACUCUUCUGUAGAGCAACUAAGACCUCCAUGUCCGGCUCUAUUCCUUCAAUUUAAUCCUCUUUUUAGUACUAGGUACCACAAUUAUCCCAAUUUAUAGCUCUCAAUCCUUUUCACUGGAUCCACCUAUCUCACGGAUGGAUCUCUGGCUGACUAAACCCUGAGUUAUCAACUCCCAAGGUCUACUGGACAUUUGGAUCUUCCUGCCUACUUGGUACAGUAGGUACGGCUCUUGACGAGCCUCUUAACAAAAAAUUACUCUACCGGUUCAAAUACCGGUGCAGUUUCUGUUCAACUUAGAAAUCUCAUUUCCUUACAUCGAGAUAUCUGUCCAAUUGUCUUACGGAUACCACCACCAUUAGGGCCCAACUCGAAAAGAGAACGAGGAUGCACAUAGUGCGAAGUCUACAGGAAGUAAAACCUAUGCUCUGAUACCAAAUUGACAGGACCCGACCCAAUGUCCGCUUUGGAAUUCGAGCCAAGCCCUGUGCAUGUCCGACACCUGGCAAUUGUCGGGCACAAUGACCUCUUUACCCUUCCUGGAGAUAAAUAUGGUUAAAACUUUCUCUGGACUCCUGCUUUAAUUUCGACAGAGACCCCCCUGUAAUUUGACUAAACCCAAAUUUUCCACCUGUCAAACAAACUGAUAAAUCCACACCAACUGCCAGAAUAGGGUAACUAAAUAUUCACCAGUUCUGGUUAUCUAAUCCAACCAGAUAUCAGAGCAGUUACUAAUUGUUUACAAGAAUUUAAGUAGGUUACAAGAAAUCCUACAGCUUGAAAAUAGCGUGGGAGCUAGGAGAUGGCCUGGUGGUGGAUUCCUGCACACUCGACUGCCUGGGGGGCGCAAAACAUUUCAAAGUGUGAGUGGACCAAAAUAAAGUUCUAGAAAACAGUAUAUGAACAUAAUAACCCCCACUGUAAAAUAAUGAUAAUCAUACGACUGAAUAUUUAAACUGCACUUGAAUUAUGAUAAGUCCAAAGCAUUUAGGUAAACAUAUAUAUACCGUUACUGCUCGAUAUUAAGAAACUCAAGUAAAAUCACUGAAAUCAAUAUUUGCAUAAUUGCACUGACAUUCCUCUAAACUGAAUAUGUAAACUGCACUGAAUUAGGGUAAAUUCAAGCAUUCACAUAAUAUAUACAUCUAUAUAUAUCCAGAUGUAGGAUAUGCUCAAUACUAAGGAAAUAUUGAGUAAAAUCACUGAAAUCAAUAUUUGCAUAAAAGCACUGAAAUUUCUUUAAAACUACCAUCUAGGUGUACCCCUGUAAAACUGUCAAAUCCUCUGUAAAUCCGUCAAUUCCCCUGGCAGGUCUCGGCGACACAUAGUGUAUCCGAGCCGCUAACUGGCAGGAUUCAGGAGACCGUAGUCAGCCUGAUCCGCAAUCCUGGCACUCACGGUCCGGGCGUCCCCAAAACUCGUGAGGCAAAUGUCAAGUGCACUGACGUAACUGAAAGUAAACUGGAUGUCUGUAGACAUCAUCAUAUCCGAAGGCAACCUAAACCGAAGGCAAUCUGGAUGUCCGUAGACAUCGUCUUAUUUGACAGCCACCUGUUUCUGUAACCGGGUACCCACAGUGGUUUAAGAAAAUAUUAACUGCUGAGAAAAUAUCAAAUAUAAAUAUCAUAAUAUUUCUGAAAGAUCUGAUGAAUAACUGAAUCUUUAUUCAAUUUAUAACUGUGCUGCCCUUUUUAUCUGAUAGAAAACUCAAACUCUGCUUUCUAUAAUUCAUGGUGGUCUAAAAUAAUUAUCUUGGAUAAAAUCUGACAUCCUCUGUAUUCUGAUAAAAUCUGAGCUAGAUAUUUCUGAAUCAUAAAUCUCAAAGUCUGUUGUCCAAAUAACUUUAGCAAAUUCAGCUAAGCAAUGUAUAGAAGGAAUCUUUAAAUUCAUAGGAAUAAAUCACACUGAAUAAAAAUGAUUCAGAAAAUCAUUUAAAAAAAAGAAAGGUCCACUCACUGUUGGUCCGAGCUAGCUGGACCUCUUGAAGGUCCCUCCUGUGGUUCAGUUUGGCCUCUGAUGCCUGUUUAACCAUGAAUAUUCAAUUACUAAACUGCUCAAUAAAAACAUUAAAUUAAAUACCCUGACCCCCGGCUCCUAGAAAUACGUGCUCUCAUUGUAAAGUCAACUCUAUGUCCAGAAUGGCCUUAAAAGACCGGAAACCUUACAAUGCGAUAAAUUGUUAGACCGGCCGAUCCGGAACCUCGUGGGGUCCACGAUCUCCGAUGGCCGAUCUGGGAUUCUCUAGAGGUUCCUCACUGUGUAAAACCCAUGUCCUGCGAGUUUGGUCCGAAAUGGACGGUCGGAUUGGCCAAAAUCGCGCUAUCGCUUAAAACCCUAACCCUAGCCCCAGGGUUCGCGAUUCCGGAGUAUCCGGGACUCCGAUUUGCAAUCCGUCGAAUCCUACGCUAUCCUGAAACAAUGUAGAACAACAUAUCCGAAAUGGGGUGCGAUCCAACGGCUAGACGACGCUGCAACCGGGAAUCGCAUAUUAUGGAAAAUCCGUUCGGGGCUCAAACGGACUCCGAAUUGAGAUCCGCAAAAUCCUGCGCGCUCGUGAUGGCACGAGGGUCUCAAAACUGGCCAGAGCCGUGCCUCCACCCUGGCCCACGCGCCGCCACACGCGGGACCGAUCGGGUGUCCAAAGCGAUCGGAUGUGCCGGAAAAAUCUUGGAACCGAGACUCCAAACUCCUACCCUAGGUAAAACACCCCAUUUGGAGUCACUUUUGUUCUUGGAAAACCCCCAAAAACUGGCCGGAAAUGGCCGAUUCCGGCGGCCGAAGUUCGGGCGAUUUCAAAUCAAAAAUUGAGCAACCUAGGGGUGAAAUCGAUCUAAACCCAGCCAACCAUCAGUUAGAGCACGAAAAAUAGCUAGAAAUCGAUACCUCACACGACUGAUUUGGUGGCCGGAUGAGGGAGAAACUGAAGCUGGAAAAUCGGCCAAAACUGCUGCGUUUUUCAGCGGCUCCAGACAGCAGCAGGGGCGGCGGACGGCCUGAGGUUGAUGGCGGGAGCUGGCCGGUGUUUCUGGGUCCGUUCCGGAGGGUCGGGGUGGCUUGAGGCGGCGUUGGGGGUGGCUUGGAAUGGGGCUGCCCAAAUGGGUUUCUGAAACUAUCGGGAGGGAGAGAGAGAGAGAGAGAGAGAGAGAGAGAGAGAGAGA